GCCGUGAUCGUCUAGUGGUUAGUACCCUACGUUGUGGUACCUACUAGAUAUAAUUCCUUAGUAACCCAGGUUCGAAUCCUGGUCACGGCA
rfam:Daphnia pulex DAPPTscaffold_109_Cont4701, whole genome shotgun sequence.